rnacentral:lncRNA from 1 species
UCUCCUACUGAAAGGUGUGUCACUACAAUCUUGGCUCUGGGAUCGCAACAACAUCUCGACGUUACGAGCUAUGUGCAACAAGGUUAGUUAAUCAUUAGUGAAAGUGUUGCUUCGCAGAAACUGGAUGUGAUGCACUGUGUUAGAUAAACACAUGAGUGCACAGAGUAAACAAUGCAGUGGAAAAAUAAAAAUAAAGAAGACACAAGGAGGUGAAAAAAUUCUUCAAGUUAUAAAUUAUAACUUGAAGACGCCUUAUGGCAAAAUUACUAAAACGAGAAUUGACACAACUCACGUUCAAUACCUUUACAACGACUCAGGUAUUGAACUAGGAACACUCUCACAAAAGAACUCAAAACUGGAUUCAAGAGCUAUACUCCGAAAUCUGACAAAAAUAAUGCGUAUUGAACACAAUGUUAUCUAAGCACUGAACAAAACACUCGUACACAGACAGUAAGUUUUUCUCUCAGAAAAUCCACAAAUUAUGAGAGAGCUCUUCCUUGGCUUUUAUAGACAUCCUAUCUUGCUCUCCAAGCUUUGAAAAACGUGGUGAAAGUGUUGGAUGGAGUGGUUGAAGUGGUUGGUUAGGGUUUCCUACUUUGUAGCAACAACAUCACCAACUCUCUUCCAUGCCUCACGUUUACCACUCCUUCCUCUCUCUCCUUUACUCCUUCAACUUCCUUAUUUGUAGGAGUCUUCCAACCUCCUCUGAUUCUACAAGAAAACCUACAUGCUCAAAGUGAAGAAGGCAAAACAAACAAAAAAACAAAUCCCACAAAAAUAGGGAAGCUAUUAUGGAGUUACAAUAAUAACUCCAACAAUUAGUAAUCGCAACUGGGUACUAUUAGCAUAGUUGCGCGAAUGUGAAAAUAAGGCCUACUUUGAGAAUUGGAUAUGUUUGGAGUUAGGAUUGUUCACGU